UCACCGCAAAUUAGAGCAAGCUUAGAGGUAAAACGGAGCCCCCUUGAGAUGUUGUAGCUAUCCCAUUCACCGUAACCCCCUCCUGAUCGCUCUGGCUCGCCGUGAUCAGCGUCGAAGUUAAGACAGCUUCGAUACUCCCCUGCAAGCCUAUAAAUAGAGGGUACUGAGUGCACCCUCAGCCGCGGCUCCACUCCACACCUCACCAGAGCCGCGCCCAACCCCUCGGAGGAUCUCGAGAGAGUCAUAUUCUCCACCUGCGGCCGCCCCGAUCAGCUUUGGGCUCUGGCAAAAUUCUCUAAGGUGAGCUAGCCCUUGCAGCCCUAAUUUUGCGAGUAGGAUCUAUGAGCAUCCGCCCAUCUAAGCCCUGCCUCAAUUCGGAGUUUGCAGCCCCCUCCGUCGAGAUCAGCCAAUUCGCGAAACCACUGUCCACCAAAGUGAGAGUAGCCACCGACGUGGUGCUCGCCAACAACCUCUUGCACCUCCCUCGGUUGCGGAAGGCCUCGGUGAGUGCACCCGCUCCUUUUCCCCCUUUCUUUCGUAGUGGCACGUCGCUGGUGCCGUCGCGAUGCCUCUGCCACCGGCGAGGAGAUUCGAACAUGACAGUGUUGGCCCACUCUUGGGAUUUUUUAUUUUCGGAAUCAUUUUCUAGAGGCCCCUUUCACAAUAAUGUGUUUUUUCUGUUGACUUUCGCAUUUUUGUCGAACCGUUUUAUUCUUUUCGAGUCUGGUAUUUGUGUGGCAUAGAUACCGAAGGGGAGACGCUGUCGUCAACUUCACCGAGCUAGACUCCGACUUCGCCGACCCAAGCAAGCAUGUUUUUAUGUUUGAUGUGAUGUUUGCUGAUAUGAUUGUUUGAUAACUUUGAUGCAUCAUAACCUACAACAUGGCAUGUCGCAUGAUUUCCCACAUGGAUAUACUAACAACUCAUGAAAUGAUGAGAGGUCGUGGACAUCCUAGUGACGUGGGACGUGAUAGGUUGUGACCUGGUCCUGCGAGAUACACGACAGUAUACGGAUAAAAAUUAAACCUCCAGUAUCGGCAUAGAUCGAGUUUUGUCAAUGUGUCACCUUAUUUCUUUGUACUGCCACAGGUCUUACCGAAAGGGAAUAUGGUUGAGUAGGUCAUAAUCUUAACUCCAUGUGCACGCCAAGUAGAGGGGCCAAGUGAUGGUUAAACCGCCCUCGAAGAAUGCUAGUCAUCCGGUCAGGGGGCAUGAGUGUUUCCGGUCUAGGAUCGAGAGGGGGCACUCCCUUGUAGCGCACAAUAUAAAUUUGGUCCCAUACUAAUCGAGGAUGUUGGCCUCCCCGUCUUAUGGUUUUUCCCCUGGAAGCGUAGUGUGGGUGAUUCCGGACCACCCUAGGUAAAAAUGGGUGUGUGUUAGUUUUGUGUGUUUACUUCUAAAAUACCAUACACGGGAUUAGUCCUUCCGGUUAUGGAAAACCGUUGGCUAUGGGUAAAGAGUACACCCUGUGUAGAGUCAAAACUACUUAAGUAGCCACGUAAACGGUCAAGGAUGACUGGUUGACAGGUCAAGUGCGGGUCUUCAUGUCGGUCUCUCGAGAACAAGUUAUUACUUAUGAAAGCCCUUAUUUGUGGUAUCUGACGGUGAUUUUUGAAACUAACCCGAUGAGACUUUGAUUAUGUUGAAUAUCCCGAAGGUUAGUUGUACCACCCGGAUAUUCAUUUAUUAUAUUAUGCCUUUCCGUGGUGUCGUUGAGACGCCCGACUAUGUCCACUAUAUAUUUUAUUACGCCCUUUCUGUGGUGUCGCUGAGAUGCCCAUGUGUGGCCAGCAUUUAUUUUCUUACGCCCUUUUCGUGGUGUCGCUAAGACGCCCGACUGUGUCUAGUAUUUAUUUUAUUAUACCCUUUCCGUGGUUGUGUAUAGACGUCCGACUUUGGCUUGUUAAUUUAUUAUUAAGCCUUGUAUUCGGUGUCGCUUAGACGCCCGGUGGUGGCAGUUUAUUUUUAUUUGUUAACCUUUUCAGGCGUCGCUUCACACACCCGAUCGGUGCAUUUUACAUUCUUCAAAAUUUCGGGAGGACUACUGCCCGACUUAUCUACCAUGACUUAACUUACUGCUAAACUGUUCACCAUGAUAAUUGUGAUAAUUAACCAUGCAUAUGUAAUUGAUCGCAUUCAUCUUAUAUUAUGUGCAAACAGUCUUGCUAGUACUUUCAAAAUACUCACUUGCUUGUUGAUGUGGCCAGAUAUGGAUGAAGCUGAUCUCAUGGAUUAAGAGUAAGAUAGCGAGUUCAACACCUAGACGAGUCCCAUUCAGUCUUGCGAUCUUGGAGUCCCUCCUUGUAUUAUUCCACCGCUUCCGCCACCAAGAAUAAUUGUCAAUCCUAACCUUGACACUUGGCAUGUAGUAGUAAUUUAACCGUGUCGCUUCACUCCGAGGUGAGAAGCCCGCCUACCAAUGCGAGUAGUAGUAUUACACAUGACCAUUGUGAGAUGACCGCCUUUAAGCCAAAUAUUGGAGUGUUUGUAAUAAACUAUUGAGCGGCCUCCGCUCUACCCUGUUUAAUAUUAAGUACUACUGGUUUUUCUAUAUCAAGUUGGUCUAAGAGUGUGAAUUAUUUUCUAUGUUGGAUGACAUUCAUGGAUGAUUUCCUAUAAUUAUAUUAUUUGGAAACCAGUCCUCACAACCUUGGUAUCAGAGCCAGGAUGACUUUAGGACGCCACUAGGUGCGAUCGCUAGCCGAUUAACUAAUUAGGUUAAUUUGAGUGUUCUACAUGCUGUAGAAUUUGUUAUGCUAGUCAACAUAUAUUUAUGUUAUAACUAUCUACAAAUUUUUGUCUAUUGUGUAG
rnacentral:lncRNA from 1 species